CGGUGAAAUAGCAGCUACAUUUUUGGACAUUCUCAGGCUGAAAAUCAGACUACGGAGAAUUGUCUUGAAAUCUUAAUCAGAAAUUGAAGCCCAAUAAUAUAGGCAAUUUGUACAUGCGAUCAUGCUGCAUUUGAUGAUGUGAAGGAAAACUUUAAAAUUGUAGGAUGCACUGGUGUUUGCCGAUUUC